rnacentral:rRNA from 1 species
AGCGAACGCUGGCGGCAGGCCUAACACAUGCAAGUCGAACGAACUCUUCGGAGUUAGUGGCGGACGGGUGAGUAACACGUGGGAACGUGCCUUUAGGUUCGGAAUAACUCAGGGAAACUUGUGCUAAUACCGAAUGUGCCCUUCGGGGGAAAGAGUUAUCGCCUUUAGAGCGGCCCGCGUCUGAUUAGCUAGUUGGUGAGGUAAAGGCUCACCAAGGCGACGAUCAGUAGCUGGUCUGAGAGGAUGAUCAGCCACAUUGGGACUGAGACACGGCCCAAACUCCGACGGGAGGCAGCAGUGGGGAAUCUUGCGCAAUGGGCGAAAGCCUGACGCAGCCAUGCCGCGUGAAUGAUGAAGGUCUUAGGAUUGUAAAAUUCUUUCACCGGGGACGAUAAGGACGGAACCCGGAGAAGAAGCCCCGGCUAACUUCGU